GAUGAACGCUAGCUACAUGCUUAACACAUGCAAGUCGAGCGACCGGCGCACGAGUGAGUAACACGUAUCCAACCUGCCCUUUACUCUGGGAUAGCCUUUCGAAAGAAAGAUUAAUACCCGAUGUCAUGGAUGGGGAUGCGUUCCAUUAGGUUGUUGGUGAGGUAACGGCUCGCCUACCCUUCGAGGGAUAGGGGUUCUGAUAGGAAGGUCCCCCACAAUGGACAUGAGGCACGGUCCAAACUCCUAGGGGAGGCAGGAGUGAGGAAUAUUGGGCAAGGAGCGUUAGCCUGAACCAGCCAAGUAUCGUGAAGGAUGAAGGCUUAGGGGUCGUAAACUGCUUUUAUAUAAGAAUAGGUAUUAGAUGAAUAAGGAUCGGCUAACUCCGUGCCAGCAGCCGCGGUAAUUC
rnacentral:rRNA from 1 species